rnacentral:rRNA from 1 species
CGAAACAAAUGACGGUACCGAAUGAAUAAGCCACGGCUAACUACGUGCCAGCAGCCGCGGUAAUACGUAGGUGGCAAGCGUUAUCCGGAUUUACUGGGUGUAAAGGGCGUGUAGGCGGGACUGCAAGUCAGAUGUGAAAACUAUGGGCUCAACCCAUAGCCUGCAUUUGAAACUGUAGUUCUUGAGUGCUGGAGAGGCAAUCGGAAUUCCGUGUGUAGCGGUGAAAUGCAUAGAUAUACGGAGGAACACCAGUGGCGAAGGCGGAUUGCUGGACAGUAACUGACGCUGAGGCGCGAAAGCGUGG